GGGUGGGAGCUGAGGCCUGGAGCCUGCCUCUGUGGGAGAAGGGAGGCUGUGGGCAGAUGCUGGUUCCUCAUUUCCCUGUUCCCCUGCAGCACCCGCAGAGAUGGCUAAAGCAGGCCACCCUCAAAGGGCACAGUGUGCUCUCAUGAGUCAGGGGCCAGGCUGGGGAGCACCCUCUGAGCCCCGCUUCCCAGUCGGCCUUCCAACCAUUCCCUCCCAGCUUGAGGCCACUUCCUGCAAGAGUUAGUCAGCUCUGCUCACAUGCCCGGGCUGGGGGUGCUCAGACCGCACAGUGAGACAGCUGUCUUGGGCCCCCUGGACGCUUCCUUUGUGCUGCCCAGGAGAGAGCCUGCCCUCUUACCCGCCACCCCACCCCACAGCUCCAAGUCUGUGGCACAGCCUCCUGGGAAAGGAAGUCCUCGGGCCACUCAGCCGCUCCGCCAGCCACCUGGAGGAGCCCCGGAGAUGAACUGUGGGCUUCUCCUCACUGUCUCCUCCUCCUCAACCCUGCAGUUCUGGCCUUUGCUUUUCCCAGUUACUUCCUCAGCAGCUGCGCUUUGAUUCCAAGACCAUCAGCACGCACAGGAAGGGCUUCCAGGAAGAGGCAGGCCCUGAGCUGGUUCCUAAAGUGCCAAGAGGACCUGUCUAGGACUCCAGAAACUUCCAGGAGUCAGGGAACCUGGGGCAGAGACAGUCCUGAACGCUGUGAAUGGGGCAGCUCGGCCUCUCCUUCCCCGCCCUCCAGUCUGACCCUCAGAUUCUCUUCAGGCACAGCUGGAAGUGGGAUGAGGACGACAGCAGGGGGAAGAAGGCAAGACUAGGUCGAGGAAUUCUGUCUGUGGGACAAAGAAGUUUAUCUGCCUGGUGGGGUCUCUGGGUGCAGCGAGCUACCUGUGAACAUGCUAGGGGGAUUUAGAACCCAGUGGGAAUGACACUGACAGGCAGGGAACAGAGAGAAGAUCGGGCCAUUCUUUCCUCAUUGCCUCCGCCAUCCUGAACACAUGGGCAUUCCUGGCUCUCAUACCAGCCACGUGCCCCCUCUCGGCUUUUCCCUGGAGCCCCUGGUGAUUUUAGGAUGUUUUCUCCCCAUGCUGGGCUGCUGUGGGGGACGUAGGGGGAGGCAGCCCUGGGGGCCCAGUGCAUACAGCUGGGGGUUACGCCAAAUGCACUGAACAGAGGGACACUGGAGACGGGACUCAUGACAGGCCCUCCCCCACCCUGCCAGUGAGACCGAUGACUUCCUGAAAAGGGGUUACAUGGAGGGUUGGCAACAUGGAACAUUUGAUGUGACCCGAGAACUUCCUGUUCAAAUGACGCCUGGGGCUCUUGACCUACUCCCGAAAGUGUCAUGUGCACAGUCGGAAUGAGCCCUAGGAAGCGGGACUUCUCCAAGCAGAGCUGCUUGCAGGCUGUGCCCACCUUGGGCACCGGGAUCCAGGCUCUCCUACUCCAGAGGGCUCUUCUGAGUUGCUGCCGCAGAACCUGCUUGGUGGCCUGUGGCUCACGACGUCAAAGGAGGAGGCAUCGGGAAGUGGAUGUUCCCAGCAAGAGGGUCUUCUGAUGUCCCCCACCCUCCUCAAAGCACCAGGGAAAUUGGAUCUUAAAAAGGGCCUUGGGAACCCAGUGCUGAGCCCUUCAAGCUGAAGUAACUGAAGCUCGGAGAAGCAGACGCCUGCGUCUCACAUUCAGGACCUGGUAACACUGGAGUCUGAGCACGGGGCUGAGUCAGCUGUGACAACAUCUCUUCCUGGGGCCUUCGAGGCCCUAUGGGUUUGUCCUCAGCCCUCUCCACUCUUGGCCCAGCCCUGCUGCUCCUCGCUCCUGGGACUCCUGGGCUGCAGCCAACCUGAGUGACUGGACUCAGCCAACUAGACUCCAGCCAACUCUGGAGCCUCCCUGCUCUCUCGCCUAUCUGAGCCUUUUGGGGAAGGUGUGUACGAACGAUGGCCCAGAGGCCACAGUAUUGCCUCCAUGCCUGCUUUUGUACGGUCUGUGAGGGAAAAAUGCUUUUUACAUUUUCAACGAUUGAAAACUUCAAAAGAAGAAUAUUUUGUGACAUGCGAAAAUGUGGCAUUUUAAUGUCCAUAAAUAAAGUUUUAUUAGAACACA
rnacentral:lncRNA from 1 species